rnacentral:rRNA from 1 species
GAUGAACGCUAGCGGCAGGCUUAAUACAUGCAAGUUGAGGGGCAGCAUGAUAUACGCGAGUAUAUUGAUGGCGACCGGCGGACGGGUGAGUAAUAGGUAGGAGACCUACCUCAUACAGGGGGAUAGCAUAGAGAAAUCUGUGGUAAUACCCCAUGAGGUUAUAUGAAUAGAGGCAUAUAAUCAAAGCAUAAGCGAUUAUGCGGUAUGAGAGGGGCCUGCUGACCAUUAGCUAGUUGGUGAGGUAAGGGCUCACCAAGGCGAAGAUGGUUAGGGGUUUUGAGAGAGAGACCCCCCACAUUGGAACUGAGAGACGGUCCAGACUCCUACGGGAGGCAGCAGUAGGGAAUAUUGGGCAAUGGGCGAAAGCCUGACCCAGCCAUGCCCGCGUGAAGGAAGACGGCCUUAGGGUUUGUAAACUUUCUUUACUACGCGAAUAGAGGUUAGUAACGAGAUACUAAUAGGAAGGUAGUGUAGUAAAAGCACCGGCUAACUCCGUG